rnacentral:rRNA from 1 species
CAGCAGCCGCGGUAAUACGGAGGGGGCUAGCGUUGUUCGGAAUUACUGGGCGUAAAGCGCACGUAGGCGGCUUUGUAAGUUAGAGGUGAAAGCCUGGAGCUCAACUCCAGAAUUGCCUUUAAGACUGCAUCGCUUGAAUCAUGGAGAGGCGGGUGGAAUUUCGAGUGUAGAGGUGAAAUUCGUAGAUAUUCGGAAGAACACCAGUGGCGAAGGCGGCCCGCUGGACAUGUAUUGACGCUGAGGUGCGAAAGCGUGGGGAGCAAACAGGAUUAGAUACCCGGGUAGUCCCUGUCUCUUAUAC